rnacentral:rRNA from 1 species
UACAGAGGUCUCAAGCGUUUGUCCGGAUUUAUUGGGCGUAAAGAGCGUGUAGGCGGCCUGGUAGGUCAGCUGUGAAAACUCGAGGCUCAACCUCGAGACGCCGGUUGAAACCAUCAGGCUAGAGUCCGGAAGAGGAGAGUGGAAUUCCCGGUGUAGCGGUGAAAUGCGCAGAUAUCGGGAAGAACACCCGUGGCUAAGGCGGCUCUCUAGUACGGUACUGACGCUGAGACGCGAAAGCGUGGGGAGCGAACAGG